rnacentral:sRNA from 1 species
UGGUAGAUGCACCUUGAUCUUCAAUUCCCCUAGUUGGUUAAUUUUGGCUAGGGGUUUUCCUU